GGUUGACAUUUUUGUAUACCUGUUGUGCAUAUAAAUCAUGAGUUGAACCUGAUAAAUAGAAUAUAUCUGCAAGAAUUCCUUCACAAAUAUAAAAUUUUAAAUCUUUUGCUGAACGGUUUGUCCGGCAUUUCUUGUCAACCUUCUUCGGGCAGUAAACAUCAGGGAUACACUUCAUUCUAAUGCCUUGACAAUGCAUAAUAUUCUCUACUAUAUAAUGAAGAUGAGAGGAUAUGGGUACAGACCUUUUGAUCUUAUGUCU